AUUGAACGCUGGCGGCAGGCCUAACACAUGCAAGUCGAACGAGUGGCGGACGGGUGAGUACUGUCUGGGAAACUGCCUGAUGGAGUGGGAUAACUACUGGAAACGGUAGCUAAUACCGCAUCCCAUCAGAUGUGCCCAGAUGGGAUUAGCUUGUUGGUGGGUUAACGGCUCACCAAGGCGACGAUCCCUAGCUGGUCUGAGCGGAUGACCAGCCACACUGGAAGUGAGACACGGUCCAGACGCCUACGGGAGGCAGCAGUGGGGAAUAUGGCACAAUGGGCGCAAGCCGGAUGCAGCCAUGCCGCGUGUAUGAAGAAGGCCUUCGGGUUGUAAAGUACUUUCAGCGGGGAGGCGUUACCCGCAGAAGAAGCACCGGCUAAAUCCGUGCCAGCAGCCGCGGUAAUUC
rnacentral:rRNA from 1 species